UAGCAGCACUGGAGCUGCCAAGGCCGUCGGCAAAGUCCUCCCUGCCUUGAAUGGGAAAUUGACUGGAAUGUCUUUCCGUGUUCCCACCGUCGAUGUCUCUGUCGUUGAUCUUACAGUGAGGUUGGAAAAGAAGGCCUCUUAUGAGGACAUUAAGGCAGCCAUAAAGGAAGAGUCUGAGGGAAAAUUGAAGGGAAUUUUGGGGUACACUGAAGACGAUGUUGUGUCCUCUGACUUCGUUGGUGACAGCAGGUCAAGCAUCUUCGAUGCCAAGGCCGGCAUUGCAUUGAAUGAUAACUUUGUGAAACUUGUCUCGUGGUACGACAAUGAAGUAGGAUACAGUACUCGUGUGGUCGACUUGAUUGUCCACAUCGCAUCUGUCCAGUAAGAUGGCUUGAUGAUGAGAAGGGUUUAAGGUUCCAUGGUUUGUUCUUGUUUCCAGUACUAGAGAGACUCAGCGAUGAGCGAGAAUGAAUAAAACAGAGUUUUCAAGCCGCCGGUUAUUUAAAGUUCUUAAGUUGUAAUGUCUGGUCUUCUUU
rnacentral:misc_RNA from 1 species